UACGAAGGGGGCUAGCGUUGCUCGGAAUCACUGGGCGUAAAGGGCGCGUAGGCGGAUCUUUAAGUCGGGGGUGAAAGCCUGAGGCUCAACCUCAGAAUUGCCUUCGAUACUGGAGAUCUUGAGACCGGAAGAGGUAAGUGGAACUGCGAGUGUAGAGGUGAAAUUCGUAGAUAUUAGGAAGAACACCAGUGGCGAAGGCGGCUCACUGGUCCGGUACUGACGCUGAGGUGCGAAAGCGUGGGGAGCAAACAGG
rnacentral:rRNA from 1 species